ACACUAUACUUCAUGCAAAAUCCGGACACCCACGACACCUAGUGAAUAACAUCCCAACUGGACAAUAUCUUCGGGCACGACGUAUCUGUUCCAAUACCUUGGACUUCGAGAAACAAGCUGAAGAUCUUCAGGUUCGGGGCAUUGAUCGGGUCUAUGCUGGCCCUCGUGGCGGCAAUUGGAAAACUCUUCUCGCUCAAAAAGAAUGUAAAUGGAUCGAAAUUUUGGGAACAAAAACUCCGGCUGGAUUGAACGAGAUCAACAGUUUUGCCUCCUAUUUGGUCUACAAUACAUCUUGCUCAUCAUUCUAUCAAUAUGGCGGGAGACUCCCCUUUUCCUUCCUUUUCCCUCCUCCUUUCCCAUGUUCCCCAUCCUUAUGUACUAUUCG